AGUGGAGUGGCAGCCCCAGAACUGGGACCACCGGGGGCGGUGAGGCGGCUUGGCACUGGGAGCUGCAUCUGAGGCUUAGUCCCUGAGUUCUCCGCCUGCCCAGACUAGCUGCACCUCCUCAUUCCCUGCGCCCCCUUCCUCUCCGGAAGCCCCCCAGGAUGGUGAGGUGGUUUCACCGAGACCUCAGUGGGCUGGAUGCAGAGACCCUGCUCAAGGGCCGAGGUGUCCAUGGUAGCUUCCUGGCUCGGCCCAGUCGCAAGAACCAGGGUGACUUCUCGCUCUCCGUCAGGUAGGUGGGCCCCCCCAACCCCGGGUGUUUUGGCCACUCUCUUGUGCCGUCCAGGCCCUGAACCACUCAUUCCUGGUUCCCCGUGGCAGUGCUGACUCCCCCGUCUGUUCCCUGGCCCCAACCCCCGCACUCUCCAUCCCUGUCUGUACCCACCCAUGCCCAUGUGUGCCCCCACCCAGGACCUCAGCCGAUCCCUGCCCUCCUGCCUCUACUCCUGCACCGACUGGCCUCACCGCCUGGUGCCCUGCAGGGUAGGGGAUCAGGUGACCCAUAUUCGGAUCCAGAACUCAGGGGAUUUCUAUGACCUGUAUGGAGGGGAGAAGUUCGCAACACUGACAGAGCUGGUGGAGUACUACACUCAGCAGCAGGGCGUCCUGCAGGACCGCGAUGGCACCAUCAUCCACCUCAAGUACCCGCUGAACUGCUCCGAUCCCACUAGUGAGAGGUGGUACCAUGGCCACAUGUCUGGAGGGCAGGCAGAGACGCUGCUGCAGGCCAAGGGCGAGCCCUGGACGUUUCUUGUGCGCGAGAGCCUCAGCCAGCCUGGGGACUUCGUGCUGUCUGUGCUCAGUGACCAGCCCAAGGCUGGCCCAGGCUCCCCGCUCAGGGUCACCCACAUCAAGGUCAUGUGUGAGGGUGGACGCUACACAGUGGGUGGUUCGGAGACCUUCGACAGCCUCACGGACCUGGUGGAGCAUUUCAAGAAGACGGGGAUUGAGGAGGCCUCGGGCGCCUUUGUCUACCUGCGGCAGCCGUACUACGCCACGAGGGUGAAUGCGGCUGACAUUGAGAACCGAGUCUUGGAACUGAACAAGAAGCAGGAGUCCGAGGAUACAGCCAAGGCUGGCUUCUGGGAGGAGUUUGAGAGUUUGCAGAAGCAGGAGGUGAAGAACUUGCACCAGCGUCUGGAAGGGCAGCGGCCAGAGAACAAGGGCAAGAACCGCUACAAGAACAUUCUCCCCUUUGACCACAGCCGAGUGGUCCUGCAGGGACGUGACAGUAACAUCCCCGGGUCCGACUACAUCAAUGCCAACUACAUCAAGAACCAGCUGCUAGGCCCUGAUGAGAACGCUAAGACCUACAUCGCCAGCCAGGGCUGUCUGGAGGCCACGGUCAACGACUUCUGGCAGAUGGCGUGGCAGGAGAACACACGCGUCAUUGUCAUGACCACCCGAGAGGUGGAGAAAGGCCGGAACAAAUGUGUCCCAUACUGGCCCGAGGUGGGCAUGCAGCGCGUUUAUGGGCCCUACUCUGUGACCAACUGCGGGGAGCAUGACACAACCGAGUACAAACUCCGUACCUUACAGGUCUCCCCGCUGGACAAUGGAGACCUGAUUCGGGAGAUCUGGCAUUACCAGUACCUGAGCUGGCCCGACCAUGGGGUCCCCAGUGAGCCUGGGGGUGUCCUCAGCUUCCUGGACCAGAUCAACCAGCGGCAGGAAAGUCUGCCUCACGCGGGGCCCAUCAUCGUGCACUGCAGCGCCGGCAUUGGCCGCACAGGCACCAUCAUUGUCAUCGACAUGCUCAUGGAGAACAUCUCCACCAAGGGCCUGGACUGUGACAUUGACAUCCAGAAGACCAUCCAGAUGGUGCGGGCGCAGCGCUCGGGCAUGGUGCAGACGGAGGCGCAGUACAAGUUCAUCUACGUGGCCAUCGCCCAGUUCAUUGAAACCACCAAGAAGAAGCUGGAGGUCCUGCAGUCACAGAAGGGCCAGGAGUCGGAGUACGGGAACAUCACCUACCCCCCAGCCAUGAAGAAUGCCCAUGCCAAGGCCUCCCGCACCUCGUCCAAACACAAGGAGGAUGUGUAUGAGAACCUGCACACUAAGAACAAGAGGGAGGAGAAAGUGAAGAAGCAGCGGUCAGCAGACAAGGAGAAGAGCAAGGGUUCCCUCAAGAGGAAGUGAGCGGUGCCGUCCUCAGGUGGCCAUGCCUCAGCCCUGACCCUGUGGAAGCGUUCCGCGAUGGACAGACUCACAACCUGAACCUAGGAGCGCCCCAUUCUUUUGUAAUUUAAAUGGCUGCAUCCCCCCCACCUCUCCCUGACCCUGUAUAUAGCCCAGCCAGGCCCCAGGCAGGGCCAACCCUUCUCCUCUUGUAAAUAAAGCCCUGGGAUCACUGUG
rnacentral:sRNA from 1 species